UCUCUGAUAGUAUAUCGGUUAGUACACGCGCCUGUCAUUCAGUUCGACUACCUACAUUGGUGCGCGCGAAAGCUGGGUUCGACUCCCAGUCAGAGAG